CUGCAAUACUUAGAUAGUUCCUGCUGAAGGACAAAACCAUAGAACCUUGGUCCCUGCUCAUUUUUGAUCCUAGGAGCUCCCCAACCCUGUGCAGGUGCAGACUCAGUGGAAGUAAAGUCUUCACUACAGGUGUAGACUCAGUAUAAGUGGAGAAUUUAGUGCCGGUAGGACAGAUGGAGACCCCAGUGCUGGAGGAGACUCAGUGUAGGUGGAGAUUCAAUGCAGGUGCAGACCUGCAGUGUGGGUGGAGACCCUAGUGAGGGACAGACUCAGUGCAGAUGCAAACUCAAUGCAGGUGCAGACAGAGCAGGUGGAGACCCCAGUGCAGGUGCAGACAGAGCAGGUGGAGACCUCAGGGCAGGUGCACACAGCAGGUGGAGACCUCAGGGCAGAUGCACACAGAGAGCAGGUGGAGACCUCAGGGCAGAUGCACACAGAGCAGGUGGAGACCUCAGGGCAGGUGCAGACAGAGCAGGUGGAGACCUCAGGGCAGAUGCACACAGAGCAGGUGGAGACCUCAGGGCAGGUGCAGACAGAGCAGGUGGAGACCCCAGUGCAGGUGCAGACAGAGCAGGUGGAGCUCCCUCUUGCAUCUGAGUGCCCAGUCCUGCCUUUCUUUCUGUGCUGUCUUCUACUUAAGUUGCCUUCACCAUUGCAAAAUAAUCUGAAUAAUCCAGUCCCUGGUUGGGGACAUGGUGGCACACACCCUUAAAAUCUGAGCAUUGGGAAGCAGAGACAGGUAGAACUCUGAGUUCAAAGCCAGCUUGGUCUACACAAAUUCCAUGCCAGCCAGAGCUAUAAAUAGACACCCAGUCUCAACAAACAACUGAAAACAAUGCAGUCCCUACAACACCACUAAAUCUUUUCUCCUUUGCCCAUCAACGUAUUCCCCAUUCCUUAGACCUUAAGAGGACUGAAGAGUGCGUGUGCAUGUGU
rnacentral:lncRNA from 1 species